ensembl:lncRNA
CCCACCCCGGGGAGAGCUGGCCUGGCGUGCCCAAGAGCGAAGUCUCUUGAGCGGGUGCGACGCUCGCGCCGGACGGUCCCUCAACCCGAAAAGCGUGGGCUGAGUGUACACGGUGACCCCGCGGUUUCAUGGUGUAUAUUAUUUUAGAGACUCAUAUGCAAGUGUGUGUGUAGUGUCUUGAAUGAUUAAUUCCAGGACUCACAUCAAUACCAAAUUCUGUGUAUGCUGAAGUACCUUAUAUAAAAUGGCAUAAGUUUUGCUUACAACCUAUCAUGUUCUGCAGAAUGAUUUACAUUAUCUUUGGAUUAUAAUAACUAUUAUAAUACAAAUGCUACUUAAAUACUUGUUUAGAGAACAAAUAAAUACUAGAUUGUUUAGAGAAUGAAUAAUGGACAAAAAUAUGUUUAGCACAAAGUCCCUUUUAAAAGAUUAUUUUUCAUUAUGUACAUGAAUACAUGUGGGUGUAUGCAUGUGAGUGCAGGUGUCCUCAGAGAACCAGAAGGUGUUGGGAUACCCUAGAACUGCAGUUACAGAUAGUUGUGAACAGCCCGAUGUGGGUUCUGAAUACUGAACUCUGGUCCUCUGCAAGCUCUUAACUGCUGAAACAUCAGUGCCAAGAGGCUGAAAAAUGACAUUUGGUGAGGAGAGGGGUUUUGCCACAACAUGGUCAGAGGACAACAUGUCAAGAGUCACUUCCCUUCUUUCACCACAUGGGUCCUGGAAAUGAAACUCUGGUUGUCAAUCUUGGUGGCAAGCACAUUUACCCACAGACAUCUCUGCCAGACACAGGCAUUUUUGGAUAAUUAAAAAUAAAAAAAAAGAGGUUGGUCAAAUGAAUGUAUGCAAAACUCAUAAAUAUGGAAGCCUGUAAUCCCUCUUGCUUCUCUGAGGACCAGAACUGAGAAAGGUCAGGGUUCUCUAGAGGAACAUAACUGAUGGGAGAUGGGGGGGAAACACACACACACACACACACACAAAGCUUACAUGCUAUGGGCCAGCUAGUCCAAUAAUGGCUUUCUACCAAUGGAAGGUGUAAGAAUCCAGUAGUUCAUGCCACAAGGCUGAAUGUCUCAGCUGGUCUUCCGUAUUUGACAGAAUCCCAAAGAAGUAGGGUCCAGUGAAGGAAUGGACAUGCUAGUGAAAGCAAAAGCAGGAACAUGUAGGCAAAGAGCAAUCUUCUUCCAUGUUCACGGGCUACUAGCAGAAGGUAUGGCCCAGAUUAAAGGUGGAUCUUUCCACCUCAAAAGAUCUGGAUUAAAAAUGGGUCUUCAAAUGAUUUAAGAAAACAAAAGCCCCCCCCCCCCAAAAAAAAAACCCAGCCAGGUGGUGGUGGCACACACCUUUAAUCCUAGCACUCAGGAAGGAGAGGCAGGUGGAUCUAUGGGAGUUCGAAGCCAGCCUGAUCUACUGAGAGAGUUCUAGGACAGGCUUCAAAACUACAGAGAAACCCUGUCUUGAAAAAACAAAAUUCCCAGUGUAUUGUCUUAGGGUUUUGUUGCUGUGAAGAGACACCACGACCACAACUCUUAUAGGGAAAAACAUAUAAUUGGGGCUGGCUUAUAGUUCAGAGAUUCAGUCCCUUGUCACAGCAGUGCACAGGCCGAUAAGGUGCUGGAGAGGUAGCUGAGAGUUCUACAUCUGGGUCCACAGGCAGCAAGGAGAGUAGGCACUGGGCCUAGCCUGAACUUGUAAAACCCCAAAGCCUACCCCCCCAGUGACACUUCCUCUAACAUGGCCACACCUCCUCCCUAUGAGCCUUUAGAGUCCAUUUUCAUUCAAACUGCCACAUGUACCUACCCAGCUGCUUGGGUUUUAGUUAAUUCCACAUGUAGUCAAGUUGGCAACCAAGAAUAGCCGUCACAGGUGGUAUAACUAAGUCAAGAAAAAAAAACAUUUGGGAAAUGGUUCUACUUAAGUCUUUGACACAAUGUGGCCAUUUUGGUGCUGAUCACCACUACUGGGCUAAAAAAAAGGAGGGGAACCAUGUUGCCUCUGCAAAAAUUGGAGCACCUAAAAAUACAGAGGAAUAGAGACUGCAAUUGAGAUAUUCAUGGUAUUUCUGAGGCUAAAUAAAUCUAGGUCAGAAGGCAUAAUCUUGAGCUCAGUUUUAUUUCUUGCAGUUUAAGGGUAGACAUGGGAUUUGAGGGUCACAGAGCUCUGCUUAAAGAUAUUUUAAUAUACGAAUGGUCAACCUAGUCCCUGCUAUGUAAUCAAGACUCUCGUCGGGAAACCAGAAGCCUGAAAGUGUGGAUGAGAGUCCCUUAGGGAAUUUGGUAUUACGGAUACCUCUGGACCCUCAGACCUUAUAGAAGCAGCUCAUAAGUCCCUGUGAAAGCAUUUCCCUCCCUCUUGAAAGUCCUUUACUAUAUUUGCUCUGACUUUCUCUUCUAGCUGUGAAGCCAUGGUAACUAGGUUUAAAUCUUAGCACCAUCUGUGGGGACUGUUAAGGAGGGUAGAUUACCCACUGAAGGAACUAAAACAGCUAGCAUAUGGUAUUGGGAAGUACACAGGAUUAGGCUUUCAAAGUGUUCAGUUAGAGGGCUUUAGUUAGAGGGUUUCACUCACUUGUAUUCUUUGGGAGCAGAUAUUUAACCUCCAUAUGGACUACAGGGAUGGGACAAACUCGUGGCUGGCUUAGAUCUUCAAAGCCAGGAAAGGUGGUGGGUUUGGCUGAGAAAAGUGGAGACCAGCUCUUUUACAUAGCAACUUUUGACUCCUUUGACAUGCUCACUUGUAAAUCCUGUUUUGUAACAAGUGGUUUAGGUGGUCAUUUGCAAAUAUUUUUGUUUUUCUGACACCUUUUUAAUCUCAUUGACCACCAGAGUGUUGAAUGAUAGUGGUGCUUGCUUUGUUCCUGCCUUCAGUGUUGUUUCUAAUACUCAGAAGACUUAUUUAUGUGUACACCAUAUGCAUUCAGGAUCCUGCUUCGGCCACAACAGAGUGUCAGAUCCCCUGGUACUGUAGUUUACAGAUGGUUAUAAGCCACCAUCUGAGUGCUGGGAAUCCAUCUCAGGUCCUCUGCAAGAGCACAAAGUGUUCCUUACAACUGCUGAGUCAUCUCUCCAGUCUAACUUCUGAUAUUUGCAAAAUUAAGGGCAUUAUUUAUGUACAUUGAAUUUUGUAAGUCAUUACUUUGUCAUCUGGUGAUACACUUGCCCCCUCAAAUCUUAUUAUAAUUUUUAUAUUUUAUGAUAAUUAUCUACAUGUUUUGUGCUUUUUAUUUUGCAUUGUGUCUUUCAGUUUAUGCAUUCUUGAAAAUUAGAAUAUUGCUACAAUUUAAAAAUAUUAACAGGCAGUUAGUUUUCAUGAAACACUCCAGUGCUCCUAGC